UACGAGGGGAGCAAGCGUUGUUCGGAUUUACUGGGCGUAAAGGGCGCGUAGGCGGCUCUACAAGUCACUUGUGAAAUCUCCGGGCUUAACUCGGAACGGUCAAGUGAUACUGUCGAGCUAGAGUACAGAAGGGGCAACUGGAAUUCUCGGUGUAGCGGUGAAAUGCGCAGAUAUCAGGAGGAACACCGAUGGCGAAGGCAGCUCGCUGGGACGGUACUGACGCUGAGGCGCGAAAGCGUGGGGAGCAAACAGG
rnacentral:rRNA from 1 species